rnacentral:rRNA from 1 species
GGAGGUUGGCUUAGAAGCAGCCAUCCUUGAAAGAGUGCGUAAUAGCUCACUGGUCGAGUGGUUCUGCGCCGACAAUGUAGUGGGGCUCAAGUACACCGCCGAAGCCGCGGCACUCAUACUUUUGUGUGUGGGUGGGUAGGGGAGCGUCGUGCAUAAUGUGAAGCUGCCGAGUGAUCGUUGUGGUGGAGUGUGUGCGAGUGAGAAUGCAGGCAUGAGUAGCGAAUGAUGAGUGAAAAACUCAUCCGCCGGAUGACCAAGGGUUCCUGGGUUAAGCUAAUCUUCCCAGGGUGAGUCGGGACCUAAGGCGAGGCCGACAGGCGUAGUCGAUGGACAACCAGUUGAUAUUCUGGUACCCGGAUGGAAGCGCCCGUGGUGAAUCAGUGAUACUAACCGCCCUGAAGCCUGAUGGCAGUCUUUUGGAUUGUUGUUGGUGUGGAUGCGUGGGAUCUGAUCUGGUAGUAGCCAAGCGAUGGUGUGACACAGGAAGGUAGCCGAGCCACUGAGUGGAUUGUGGUGUAAGCGUGUAGCCCGCAUGGUAGGUAAAUCCGCUGUGCAUGGUGGGUGAGGCGUGAUGCGUACCCCUUUUGUUGGGGGAUGUUGGUGAUCCUAUGCUGUCGAGAAAAGCAUCUAGCGAUGUUUCCAUCUGGCCCGUACCCCAAACCGACACAGGUGGUCAGGUAGAGAAUACUAAGGCGAUCGGGUGAACUGUGGUUAAGGAACUCGGCAAAAUGCCCCCGUAACUUCGGGAGAAGGGGGACCACUGCUGGUGACAGACUGGUUUUGAGCUGGUGGUGGUCGCAGAGAAUAGAGGGAAGCGACUGUUUACUAAAAACACAGGUCCAUGCGAAGACGAUAAGUCGAUGUAUAUGGACUGACGCCUGCCCGGUGCUGGAAGGUUAAGAGGACCUGUUAGUCACUUUGGUGGCGAAGCGGAGAAUUUAAGCCCCAGUAAACGGCGGUGGUAACUAUAACCAUCCUAAGGUAGCGAAAUUCCUUGUCGGGUAAGUUCCGACCUGCACGAAUGGCGUAACGACUUCCCUGCUGUCUCAACCACAGGCCCGGCGAAAUUGCAGUACGAGUAAAGAUGCUCGUUACGCGCGGCAGGACGAAAAGACCCCGGGACCUUCACUAUAGCUUGGUAUUGAUAUUCGGUUCGGUUUGUGUAGGAUAGGUGGGAGACUGUGAUCACAUGACGCCAGUUGUGUGGGAGUCGUUGUUGAAAUACCACUCUGGUCGUAUUGGAUAUCUUAACCUCGGCCCAUGAUCUGGGUUAGGGACAGUGCCUGGUGGGUAGUUUAACUGGGGCGGUUGCCUCCUAAAGAGUAACGGAGGCGCCCAAAGGUUUCCUCAGCCUGGUUGGCAAUCAGGUGGUGAGUGUAAGUGCACAAGGGAGCUUGACUGUGAGACUGACAGGUCGAGCAGGUACGAAAGUAGGGACUAGUGAUCCGGCACUGGCUUGUGGAAGCGGUGUCGCUCAACGGAUAAAAGGUACCCCGGGGAUAACAGGCUGAUCUUCCCCAAGAGUCCAUAUCGACGGGAUGGUUUGGCACCUCGAUGUCGGCUCGUCGCAUCCUGGGGCUGGAGUAGGUCCCAAGGGUUGGGCUGUUCGCCCAUUAAAGCGGCACGCGAGCUGGGUUUAGAACGUCGUGAGACAGUUCGGUCUCUAUCCGCCGCGCGCGUAGAAACUUGAGAAAGGCUGUCCCUAGUACGAGAGGACCGGGACGGACGUACCUCUAGUGUGCCAGUUGUCACGCCCGUGGCAUGGCUGGUUGGCUACGUACGGAAGGGAUAACCGCUGAAAGCAUCUAAGCGGGAAGCCUGUUUCGAGAUAAGGUUUCGUGAUCAGGUGCCCUCUAGACUAGGGGGUUGAUAGGCCAGAGCUGGAAGCGUAGUAAUGCGUGUUGAGGUGACUGGUACUAAUGCGCCGAACACACCCAA